GACGAACGCUGGCGGCGUGCUUAACACAUGCAAGUCGAACGGUAAGGCUCCAGCUUGCUGGGGUACACGAGUGGCGAACGGGUGAGUAACACGUGGGUGACCUGCCCUGCACUUCGGGAUAAGCCUGGGAAACUGGGUCUAAUACCGGAUAGGACCGCACCGUGAGGGUGUGGUGGAAAGUUUUUUCGGUGUGGGAUGGGCCCGCGGCCUAUCAGCUUGUUGGUGGGGUAAUGGCCUACCAAGGCGGCGACGGGUAGCCGGCCUGAGAGGGUGGACGGCCACAUUGGGACUGAGACACGGCCCAGACUCCUACGGGAGGCAGCAGUGGGGAAUAUUGCACAAUGGGCGGAAGCCUGAUGCAGCGACGCCGCGUGGGGGAUGACGGCCUUCGGGUUGUAAACUCCUUUCACCAUCGACGAAGGGUUUCUGACGGUAGAUGGAGAAGAAGCACCGGCUAACUACGUGCCAGCAGCCGCGGUAAUACGUAGGGUGCGAGCGUUGUCCGGAAUUACUGGGCGUAAAGAGCUCGUAGGUGGUUUGUCGCGUCGUCUGUGAAAUUCCGGGGCUUAACUCCGGGCGUGCAGGCGAUACGGGCAUAACUUGAGUACUGUAGGGGAGACUGGAGUUCCUGGUGUAGCGGUGAAAUGCGCAGAUAUCAGGAGGAACACCGGUGGCGAAGGCGGGUCUCUGGGCAGUAACUGACGCUGAGGAGCGAAAGCAUGGGGAGCGAACAGGAUUAGAUACCCUGGUAGUCCAUGCCGUAAACGGUGGGCGCUAGGUGUGGGUUUCCUUCCACGGGAUCCGUGCCGUAGCUAACGCAUUAAGCGCCCCGCCUGGGGAGUACGGCCGCAAGGCUAAAACUCAAAGGAAUUGACGGGGGCCCGCACAAGCGGCGGAGCAUGUGGAUUAAUUCGAUGCAACGCGAAGAACCUUACCUGGGCUUGACAUAUACAGGAUCGCGCCAGAGAUGGUGUUUCCCUUGUGGCUUGUAUACAGGUGGUGCAUGGUUGUCGUCAGCUCGUGUCGUGAGAUGUUGGGUUAAGUCCCGCAACGAGCGCAACCCUUGUCUUAUGUUGCCAGCACGUUGUGGUGGGGACUCGUAAGAAACUGCCGGGGUUAACUCGGAGGAAGGUGGGGAUGACGUCAAAUCAUCAUGCCCCUUAUGUCCAGGGCUUCACACAUGCUACAAUGGUCGGUACAGUGGGUUGCCAGUCCGUGAGGGCGAGCUAAUCCCGCAAAGCCGGUCUCAGUUCGGAUCGGGGUCUGCAACUCGACCCCGUGAAGUCGGAGUCGCUAGUAAUCGCAGAUCAGCAACGCUGCGGUGAAUACGUUCCCGGGCCU
rnacentral:rRNA from 1 species